ACCCUUUAUCCUAUCAUGUCAUAUCAUUGUAGACAUUUUCCAUCUCUCUUAUUUCUCAAUUGCUCUCUAAACCCUAAAACCACUCCUGUCUAAUCAUUCCUUCCACACAAGAUGAAAAACUAGAGGCAAAGCCCUGCGCUAUAAGCAAGUUGUGUGAAAAAUCCCUUCACGAAGAGCUGCAUUUUGCAGCAUCGUUGGUUUUCUUCUCUUGCCCCAUUCCUCCUCUAAAGCGGCGGUGGCGACGACAAAUUGGGGUUUGAUGCACUAGGGUCAUCGUCAUCCUCUUUUCUUGUACCAAGCUCUACUAGAUCUCUUGGAUCUUUGUGUUGACGACGAUUUAGUCAUACUAGAAGCUAUGGCAAUGAUUUGGGGUUUGGGUGUAGAUGGUGCAGCAAAGGUGGGAACACAUGUGGGUAAUAGUGGAUGGAGGUGAUUGGAGUGAGGGUGGAAACAGUGGUGUGGGUUGGAAUUGCUUGAUUUGGGAAAAUCAUUUACUUAUAUUACUACACUUGGUCAAGAUCAGCUAUAGUUGCCAACACCGAAACCUAUCUCAGAGCAAUGUCAUGGUGCUUGGUUGCUGAAGACAACGUGUUUGACAAAAGUCCCAAGUGAGAGAAUUCUCAAGUGGCAAAUGCAGGCUGCAGCAGCAAUUCGAGAUGCAGCUAUCAGAGAGUGGGUGUUUCUUACGGCUGAUGAGAAGACAAGCUUGAUUAGUUUUUGUUUGUGCUUUGUUAUGCAACAUGCUAGUUCACCCAAGGGCUAUGUACAAGCAAAAGUUUCUUCAGUAGCUGCUCAGUUGAUGAAAAGGGGCUGCAUAAGCUCUGCUAGUUGAGGAACUUAGUAGCCUGUUUGGAAGUAAAGAAAAAGUAAGUGUCAACUAUUGGAGAGCUGAUUAAGGUUAAAAUUGCUUUAUGGUUGAAGUAUAAUACAUAUGGGGUACCUUUUUCUAUUAAUGAUGUGGUGUUCAACCUUCAGCAAGUUAGAUCUUGUUCAAGGCAGCAGAAUAGAAGCAGAGAUCUGGGCUAAUUUUUGGAUUUUAAGAUUGUUGUUUGUAGGUUAGGUGACUGUUGUUUGGUAGAUCUAACAACUUUUAGACUUGAACUAGCACAUGAUUGGGUGCCCCUCUUGGUGCCAACCUAGUUGGGAUUAGGUUGGGGUGCUAUGAUGCUAUCUUGUUCUUGUCUUUUCUAGGUAACUCUGGGCUUUGGGUGGUUAUUGAAGGCCUGUGUGAUGUUAUAUAGAUUAGGUUGUUGAAGGCCUAUGUGGUUGUGUGGCUAUUUUGUUCCUCUGCUUUGUUGAAGUUCUGCAUCAAGUGUAGUUCUACUUUGCUCCUCUACUGUUGGUUUGAAUAAUAGGUGUGGUCUGUUUGUUGGGUGUGGCUGUUGUUGUCAGAUAUAGAAGAAGUGUGGAAGCUACUGUAUUGAUGUAAUGUAUGUUGUUGCUGCUAAUGUAUGUUGCUGGCUGCUGCUGCUGCUGCUAAUAUAUUGUUUUGUUAGUGAUUUGAGUAGGACUAGUUCUCUUUGGGCAUUUGUAGGGCAGCAGAGAGCACAAUUGAUUUGAGUCCCGCUCAGGAGAAGCCAUGGAGAUUAUGGUUGCUUGCUUUGCAAUGGCUUUAGCAAAAAGGGAACAAUAAAAAAGAGGAAAUUACCAAUCACUAGACAACUCUUGGGACAAGUGGAACCGUGGAGGUAUAAUAGGUGCAGCUGCAUUAACCUGAGAAACCUUAAUGGCAAUUAUUGGUGUUAGCUGAUCCAACUAUUCUUGCGGGUUUAGGUGCCUUAGCACAUAUAUUGGGGGCACCCUUUUGUCCAUGUGAUAGGAGCAAGCGGGUUUGCUGCAGCUGCAACUGUUGCAAGAACUGUUACCGAUAGUUUUGGAUAAUUUCUAAAUAAUUUUGGAAAUGUGUAGAAACUCAGAUAUGCACAGUUUUUGAAUGGUUUAAACUUUUUGGAUGGUUUAGAACUUAAGGAUAUAGUUUUUGAAUAUUUGAAAUGUAUAGACAAUUGUUGAAUGUUCAUAAUUUAUGAAUAUAGUUUCUUUUUGAUGUUUGAAACAAUAUUUUGGUGGU